AAUUUGGGAUAGACCCUAGUAAAUGUGAGUGAUCUGAAAUUCAAAAAUCUUUAGCUUUUGACAUUCCUUUCUUAGCUUUUGGUAUUCUGCUGAUAUGGUCUUUCAUGUAUUCUUAUCAUGAUAGGUCUUGUAAGCUUUAGGUAGGUUUGUUUGCUUGGUGAUAAAAUUGGCCCUUGAAACAAUAUGAUAGCUAAAAUGAAACGGUUUAACCAAAAGAAGAAAAAAAAAAAGUAAAAGAAAAAGAGGAAGGAAAAAAAAUAACUAUUAGUCUUAUCUUUUAAGUCAAUAGCAUAUUUUCUAGACAAUGAUAAAAUGUCUUUUUUUUUAAUGCUAAAACUUAUAGAAAUUUACGCCAUUUUUUUUAAAAAAAAUCUGUUUCUAAAGUUUUUAGUUGUAUAUAGAAGUAUGUUAUGUAUUUUACAUAGGUCCAUUCAAAGUUUCAAGUCUAGAUUUGCCCCUAACCAUAUCCACCAGGAUAACAUUCUAUCGUUGCUUUAUGAAUAACCAGUAUUUGGAUGCUUCAUUAUAUGGGUAACUUUUAAAGUUAAUUUAUUGAUGAUAGUAAAUUGAAAUAUUUUCAGUCUAAAUUUUAAAUAAUAUUUAUAAAAAAUUAAGGAUAUUAAGAAAUUCAUCACGUAUUAUUUAAGAGAAAAAUUUCAGAUUUAUACUGGACAGUUGAAAGUAGACUCUAGGACAGGUUUUUUAUGGUACGUAUGCAUUGGUAUAUAGCUUUAGAAUUUAGGCAAUUGAUCUAUAGGCAGCAUGUACUUGUAAAUUGUAACAAGAUUAUGGUUUUAGAAAUUUGGACAAUAUAUAUAAAUACUAGUGUAGUUAAUAAAUUAUAUUUAAAUUGAUAUUAUUCUUCAAAUAUGAAUUUUUAUGGACUUAGGAAUAUAUUAGGAUUUAUUAAAUAUGAAUUUUUAUUGAUUUAGGAAUAUAUUACAAGUUAUGAAUUCAUAUUGAAAUGGUAAAAUUAUCUAGCUAAUAGAAAUAUGUGCAAUUACUAGUCAUUGAAUCUUAGGUUAAUUUCACAAUUUGUAGGGAUGUUUACUUCAAGUUGGCUUUGAUAUAAUGGUGGCAAAAAAAAUAUCUGCUUUAUGGAGACAUCAACUUGAAGUGGGUUUGACAGCCACUUUGAGAGGUUACAUAAUUAUAUGUUGACAUCAAUGUAUAAAACUAAUAUAAAAUUGUCAAAACAACUCAUCUACAUUUUAGAGCUCUCCUGUCUCCAUAGAUUAAAAGUAAUUGUCCUUUUCUGUCAUUUAAAAGAUUUGAGUUCUUGUGAAAAUAGUUCUCCUUUUUAGUCCAUUCAAAAGUUUUAGGCUAGUAGUUUUGUCUCCACAAAGCUUUUAAGGUUAUAUCAGAGUGUCAAUUUAGCUUCUAAUGUUCAUUUUUUUUUUUUGGUAAGCAAAG
rnacentral:misc_RNA from 1 species